CUUUUUUGUACUUAUCAUUAAAAAUCCUUAGGUUUCAAGAGGCUUAUCUGUUUCAUUUCCUCCUAGCCAAUCUUAACUAAACAGCCUUAUUAUUCAGAAACAGAUCUUUAGUUAAGGAAAUUCUAGGUUUUAAUUGUUAAUGAAGUGUGUUUUUGUUAGCUUAAUGCACACUUUUUUUCCCCCAAGCAAAUGAAAAAGAUACAUAACAUACCAUCUAGGUAUUACCGCUGACAAUCAAACAAUUCUUCUCUAAUCUUUCCAAUCUAGGCAGUGAAUGCAUUUUCUCAACAAAGAAUAAAUACUUGCUAUCAUGGAAUUCUGGAUCAAGACUUACAAUGGUUGGCUGCGGCAUAAGCAUGCAGGAGAGAGUGAUUGUCCAGCUAUUUCAUUGGAACUCCUAAAUACUCAGAACAUGUUCUGCAGAAGGCAAAUCCUAGCUGAUAAUGAGCAGUCUACAACCACUCUCAAGAACUGCAAAUGUUGUAAGGGCACCAUUCUACAACUUCCGAGAGAACAAAUGUCUCCUUCCUGUCACUGUUGGCUGACUCCUGCUGGCACAGCACACAAGGGCAUGC